rnacentral:misc_RNA from 1 species
UAGAUAUAUGACGACAACCAGAAUCACAAUCCCGACAACAGCUAAAAGCAUGCACAAGCAGGAGCAGCCACCCUUUGUACGCUUGUUCAGAAUAGCCAGAUUCUUCUGCACUCGCCGUAAGCGGGAGUCGGUAACAUCCACAUGUUGGUCCAAGUCAUCAAUAAGNUCUAGUGUGAAGAUCAAGUUCCUCAUUGACUGCUAAUGCAAUAUGUUUUGUACUUGUUACUGUCUCCUCCAACUUCUCAAGGCCCUCAUCUUGUUCUUUCAUAAUUUGCCGUUGAAGACCGACAAUGCCAUGGUUGUCCAAACCUUCAGUUCUGCGCAUGGCAUCAGCUGGCUUUAUUUCUGGACCAAACAAGCUAUCCCUGUUGGCAAAGUUUGACAUAUCCAAUGCGGAAGCCAUUUGGUUUACUUUUGUUCUCAAAUUUGCAACCAUGUCCUUGCGACGAUUCAUCUCUUUUUCCAAUAUAUGCUGCUUGCCAGGAAGUUUGGUCAAAAGGGACUGUAAGCUAUCAAGCCU